rnacentral:rRNA from 1 species
GACGAACGCUGGCGGCGUGCCUAAUACAUGCAAGUAGAACGCUGAAGAGAGGAGCUUGCUCUUCUUGGAUGAGUUGCGAACGGGUGAGUAACGCGUAGGUAACCUGCCUGGUAGCGGGGGAUAACUAUUGGAAACGAUAGCUAAUACCGCAUAAAAUGGAUUAUCGCAUGAUAAUCCAUUGAAAGGUGCAAAUGCAUCACUACCAGAUGGACCUGCGUUGUAUUAGCUAGUUGGUGGGGUAACGGCUCACCAAGGCGACGAUACAUAGCCGACCUGAGAGGGUGAUCGGCCACACUGGGACUGUGACACGGCCCAGACUCCUCCGGGAGGCAGCCGUAGGGAAUCUUCGGCAAUGGACGGAAGUCUGACCGCGCAACGCCGCGUGAGUGCAGAAGGUUUUCGGAUCGUAAAGCUCUGUUGUAAGGGAAGAACGAGUGUGAGAGUGGAAAGUUCACACUGUGACGGUAUCUUACCAGAAAGGGACGGCUAACUACGUG